rnacentral:rRNA from 1 species
AUUGAACGCUGGCGGCAGGCCUAACACAUGCAAGUCGAGCGGAUGAAGGGAGCUUGCUCCUGGAUUCAGCGGCGGACGGGUGAGUAAUGCCUAGGAAUCUGCCUGGUAGUGGGGGAUAACGUCCGGAGACGGGCGCUAAUACCGCAUACGUCCUGAGGGAGAAAGUGGGGGAUCUUCGGACCUCACGCUAUCAGAUGAGCCUAGGUCGGAUUAGCUAGUUGGUGGGGUAAAGGCCUACCAAGGCGACGAUCCGUAACUGGUCUGAGAGGAUGAUCAGUCACACUGGAACUGAGACACGGUCCAGACUCCUACGGGAGGCAGCAGUGGGGAAUAUUGGACAACGGGCGAAAGCCUGAUCCAGCCAUGCCGCGUGUGUGAAGAAGGUCUUCGGAUUGUAAAGCACUUUAAGUUGGGAGGAAGGGCAGUAAGUUAAUACCUUGCUGUUUUGACGUUACCAACAGAAUAAGCACCGGCUAACUUCGUG